rnacentral:lncRNA from 10 species
UGCGUCCCGCAAGGCCAGAACAGGAGCAAAAGAGGGAGCAGGGGGAGGUGCCACAAACUUAAAGAACCAGAUCUCCCAAGAACUCACUGUUUCAAGGACAGCACCACGCCAUGAGGGAUCCUCCUCCAUGAUCCAAUCACCUCCUACCUAGCCAACACCUCCAACGUUGGGGAUUACAGUUCAACAUGAGAUUUGUCUAUUCAGAAUAUUACAUUAAUUGAUUUCUCAAACAAAG